GGGUAUUUGGGUUGAGAUUCAGGUUUUGGUGAAUGUGGGGCAGGCGUCCAGGUGUGUUUGUGUCACUUGCUGCAACACUGUGGCCUAUGAAGAUUCCAACAGGAUGGUCUGACCAGAGGGGCUGGCACUCUGGAGUCGUGGGUGCAGCCAGGUACCCUGUGCAGGGCCUGGGAGGCUCUCCAGGCCACAGCCCUCAGAGAGCGCUGGGUCCCGUGUUGUGUGUGGGUUCCAUGUCCUCCACACAGCAGGAGAGGGGCCUCCCUGACCUCAACACCUGCCCUGUCAGUCUUGCUUCUCCCCAGCAAGCCUGCACUCUGGGGUCUCCAUAGGAGCUGGGGAAGCUGGGGCCCUCCCAGGGACCCUAGUCGCCACUGGGGGCUCUUGGCCUGGUUUCAUAAGAUGGAGCACUGCACAAGGCUAUGCUCAGAAAGCUGGUAAACGCAGGACAGGGUGGGCCUCGAGCCUGGGCUGGAGGGGUCUCUACCCUUGCUGGCCUGAGAGAUGGCCCAUAUUUCUUAUUUGUGACCCCCUGCUCUUCCUGGCCACCCCCCCGAGGUGGCUGAACAGGGUGCUUUUGUUGUGGCGAGGGGCCAGGAUGUGACCUGGGGUGCAGCCUCAGGCCCCGGGUUCAGGCCUCAGAGGUAGCCUGUGUGCAGGGCUGCGGCAGAGCCCCAGCCCCUCCCAACCAGAGCCCGUCCACACCAGGGCCUCCAGGUUCACCUGGGACCAGGACCCUGGGGCACACCCCAGGGUCGGGGAGGGGUAGGAAGGCCUCCCAUUGAAUCCUGGCUUCAGGCUCUGCCCUGAGAGGGGUCUAGGGUGAGGGUGUGGGCCCCCGGCUGAUGGCCUCUGACCCCGGCAACACUCAAAACAGGUGGGACCCUGACCAUCUCGUUCCAGCCGCCCCCGCACUGGGCUGUUUUUCUGCUUUUCCAGUUUCUUUUUUUUUUUUUUGAAACGGGGUCUUGCUGUAUUGCCCAGGCUGGAGUGCAGUGGCAUGAUCUCAGCUCACUCAUGACCUCCACC